UAGGAAAGAUUAAAAUUGUAUGAUUGCUGAUUUUAUUUCUUUACUUGAGGCACUUAGUAGACUAGACAUGGGAAACCUGGAAUAUUAGAUACUCAGGAUAAAGAACACAGUCUUUGUAAAUCUCUGAUAUAAUCUCUCUUCACAUGAAUAUCCUGAAUCACCAAGAUCACCAUGUUGCCACCUAAUCCUGAGCCAUUUCUAUGUUCAUUAGAUCCAGCUUUCCCAU
rnacentral:lncRNA from 1 species